GUUUGAUCAUGGCUCAGGAUGAACGCUGGCGGCGUGCCUAACACAUGCAAGUCGAACGAAGUUACACAGAGGAAGUUUUCGGAUGGAAUCAGUAUAACUUAGUGGCGGACGGGUGAGUAACGCGUGGGAAACCUGCCCUGUACCGGGGGAUAACACUUAGAAAUAGGUGCUAAUACCGCAUAAGCGCACGGAACCGCAUGGUUCCGUGUGAAAAACUCCGGUGGUACAGGAUGGUCCCGCGUCUGAUUAGCCAGUUGGCAGGGUAACGGCCUACCAAAGCGACGAUCAGUAGCCGGCCUGAGAGGGUGAACGGCCACAUUGGGACUGAGACACGGCCCAAACUCCUACGGGAGGCAGCAGUGGGGAAUAUUGCACAAUGGGGGAAACCCUGAUGCAGCGACGCCGCGUGGGUGAAGAAGUAUUUCGGUAUGUAAAGCUCUAUCAGCAGGGAAGAAAAUGACGGUACCUGACUAAGAAGCCCCGGCUAACUACGUGCCAGCAGCCGCGGUAAUACGUAGGGGGCAAGCGUUAUCCGGAUUUACUGGGUGUAAAGGGAGCGUAGACGGCAUGGCAAGCCAGAUGUGAAAACCCAGGGCUCAACCUUGGGAUUGCAUUUGGAACUGCCAGGCU
rnacentral:rRNA from 1 species